GGUAAACAUGUGUUUUUUACAUUACUAUUAAAGGUGUGAUUAUUGGUACUCCGGGGAGGCUUCAAGGAGAAACUGGAAAUAAAAUCCUCCAAGACAUCCAUGCCCACAUCCACUGCCACAGCACACCAACAGCAAUCUAUGUCAGCACCACCACCACAUGGGAGAGCUGAGAAGUUGACCCCCUGCAUCCAUACUUGGCACAUGAAGGCUAUAGGCCUAAGGGAAGAAUCAUGAUUCUGACAUGUAAAGAAUCUCUUUUUACGGGGCGGUCACUCACUUUUUGCACCUAAUGAUUUCACACUGUUAACUACUGUUUUAUUGAUAAUAAUAGUAAUAAUUGUUCAAGUUAAACAAUUAUGCCGUUUGUGAAACUACUGUUUUAGUGAUAAUAAUAGUAAUAAUUCAUCAAGUUAAACAAUUAUGCCUUUUGUGAUUCUGCACAAGUCUAGUUAAAGUUUUUAAGGUCAACUUGAAACAUUGUGUAAAGGGAUGGCAAAGUCAGUACAAUGAGUCAAA